GACGAAAGUCUGACCGAGCAACGCCGCGUGAGUGAAGAAGGUUUUCGGAUCGUAAAGCUCUGUUGUAAGUCAAGAACGUGUGUGAGAGUGGAAAGUUCACACAGUGACGGUAGCUUACCAGAAAGGGACGGCUAACUACGUGCCAGCAGCCGCGGUAAUACGUAGGUCCCGAGCGUUGUCCGGAUUUAUUGGGCGUAAAGGGAGCGCAGGCGGUCAGGAAAGUCUGGAGUAAAAGGCUAUGGCUCAACCAUAGUGUGCUCUGGAAACUGUCUGACUUGAGUGCAGAAGGGGAGAGUGGAAUUCCAUGUGUAGCGGUGAAAUGCGUAGAUAUAUGGAGGAACACCAGUGGCGAAAGCGGCUCUCUGGUCUGUCACUGACGCUGAGGCUCGAAAGCGUGGGUAGCGAACAGGAUUAGAUACCCUGGUAGUCCACGCCGUAAACGAUGAGUGCUAGGUGUUAGGCCCUUUCCGGGGCUUAGUGCCGGAGCUAACGCAAUAAGCACUCCGCCCGGGGAGUACGACCGCAAGGUUGAAACUCAAAGGAAUUGACGGGGGCCUGCACAAGCGGUGGAGCAUGUGGUUUAAUU
rnacentral:rRNA from 1 species